UCCUCGGUAGCUCAGUGGUAGAGCAGUCGACUGUUAAUCGACUGGUCGUAGGUUCGAAUCCUACCCGGGGAGCCA
rnacentral:tRNA from 1 species